UUAAAAAAAAAAAAAAAAAUUACAAGAGAUUCUGAAACACCGGUUACAGCAAUUAAAAGUAGCAAUUGUGCGAAUGAAAGCCAAGAGCUUUACAACUUGGUACAAAUUAAUGCAGAGCCAAUACCAAACCAACAAACGAGAAGCAGAAAGAGUUUAUUAGAUGAAAUGCUUGAAAUCACAGAAAUGCUUGAACUGUCAUUAAUGACUGAAUAUCAAUAUAAAAAGUUGAACUUUGAUAAUCUUUUUUUUGAAAUACAAAAAAAUCAUUAUAAUAUUAUUAUUACGUAUUAAAACAAAUUUUUUCAUUUCCAAAAUGAAAUGUUGAAUAAUUCACAAUGAAGCUUCAUAAAAUAACAAUUAUGAGGCAUAUGCCUUAUGUCAAUUUAUCAUGCAACUUCCAAAUAGGAAACGACAGUAUGAACAAAUGGGAUCAAUAUUGAAUUUCCGUUAGGUUCCCAUUCAAUGCCUUGUAUUUUAUUUAACGCGUCAGCAAUAAACAUCACCACUCCAAUUCACUGUUCAGAUGAGAUGACUUCUAUAGAAUAGUGAUACUUGCCAGAAAGGCACCUAGGAAAGAAAAAGGAGGUUUUAACUCCUAACCAUCAAAAGGCUCUGAAGGCAAAAGGCUUGAGGCUUAAUUCAAUUCAUCGUGAACACUUCAGAAAGUGAAAACGGCUAGAAAAACAAACCCAUACAACUGGAUUAUUAAGCAACAACAUUCCAAUAUCAAUUCAUGCAACUCGAGCAAUUCAUCCUCGAAGAUGCUCAAGAGAAAACAUUUAUUUACUCAAAUCUACAGCCUAAGAACAGAGGAGCUCUGUACUAUAAUUCUAGUCCACUGUCCGCUCUGGCUGUGAAACCAGCCAUAUACCAAACCUAAAGUUGCUCAAAAAGGGGAAAUGAGAAACUCAGCUCAUGCAUCAUCAAGAGCAAGGACUCCAGGAAGAGUUUUCCCCUCGAGAAGCUCUAAGCUGGCACCACCUCCAGUCGAUAUGUGACUCAUCUUAUCAGCAAGCCCAACCUUCUCCACGGCAGCAACUGAGUCACCACCUCCAAUGAUUGUUGUCACACCCUUGCCACUGAGCUCUGCAAGCUUCUUGGCAAUUGCCUCAGUUCCCACAGCGAACUUAUCAAACUCAAAGACACCCAUUGGUCCAUUCCAAAUAAUUGUUUUGGUAGUAUCUAACGCUUCACAGAAAGUCUUGAUAGCAUCAGGUCCAACAUCCAAACCCAUCCAACCAUCUGGUAUUGCAGAUGCUGGCACCACCUUGCUGUUGGCAUCAGCUGCAAACUUGUCAGCAAUCACCACAUCAGUGGGCAGCAGUAAAGAUACUCCCUUAACCUUGGCCUUUUCAAUAAGGGAAGUAGCAAGAUCAAGCUUGUCUUCCUCCACAAGGGAUGACCCAACUGAAUGCCCUUGUGCCUUGUAAAAAGUAAAUAUCAUUCCUCCACCCAAUAUGAGGAUGUCAACCUUCUCCAAGAGUGAUUCUAUCACUCCAAUCUUGGUCGAUACCUUUGAGCCACCAACAAUUGCAGCAAAUGGCUUCUUUGGAUUUGCCACAGCUCCAACAAGAUAGUCAAGUUCCUUCUGCAUAAGAAAACCAGCACCAGAAGGUUUCAAGUACUUAGCAACACCCUCCGUGGAAGCGUGGGCUCUGUGAGCAGUUCCAAAAGCAUCGUUAACAUAGAGAUCCGCGAGAGAAGCCAACUUUUUGGCAAACUCAGGGUCAUUCUUCUCUUCCUCCUUGUAAAACCUCACGUUUUCAAGCAGCAAGACACCUCCCUCGGGCAAUUCAGCGACCAACUUCUCAACUUCCUCGCCAAUACAAUCAUUAGCCAUUACCACCUGAAGUCCAAGGAGCUCAGAAAGCCUGGGAACAAGAGGCUUCAAACUGUAUUUUGGUGUUACACCCUUUGGACGUCCCAAAUGGCUGGAGAGGAUGACCCUAGCACCAUGGCUAAGCAAAUACUUAAUGGUAGGCACAGCGGCACGGAUUCUGGUGUCAUCGGUGAUGUUGAAACUGUCAUCCAAAGGAACGUUGAGAUCGACUCUGACGAACACCCUCUUUCCCUUCAAAUCAGCCUCCUUGAGAGUACCGACGCUCCUUUUGGUAGCCAUAAGAAUCGCGAGGAAAUAGAAGAUGAGAAAUUAGAGAAGCGGUGGAGAGUGAGGUGAAGCAAAUACGAAGGAAAUGAGAAGGGAGGAGGAGGCAAUUUAUAGAAGGAAAGUGAUAAUUGAGGAAAGCGGACACGUGGUGAGGAGCGGAGAUCAGCG
rnacentral:misc_RNA from 1 species